UGGAACAACGGUAGUCCAGUGGUAGAGCUGCUGCUUCGUAUGCAGAAGAUCCUGGGUUCAGUUCCCAGCAUCUCAA